UUACUGUAGGGCCUGCGGCUU
rnacentral:miRNA from 1 species